GAACCAUCUCAUGUUCCUAAUCAUCUCACCGUGGAACCUCCAAUGGCGCUGGAAGAGGAAGAUAUGAACAAUGAUCCUGAAGUUUGUGAUCCUUCCAGUAAUGAUGAAGGAUCGGUGAUUGAAGAGGAGGAGGUUGUUGAAGCCCCACAUCCAAGUGAGCAUGAAGUAGUUGUGACAGCAGAUGCAGCCCCUGUUGCCCAAGAAGAUGCUCCAAAGAAGUCGUAUGCAU
rnacentral:misc_RNA from 1 species